rnacentral:lncRNA from 1 species
UUUGAUCCCAAUCCUGUUACAGCUGCGUGUUCCUGGCAGAUCAACUUCCGCUGAGCCCCAGUGAAAUCCCAUAAUAUAAUGACAGCAGGGGCCAGCGCUUAGUAGGGCUGACCUUUUUUUUUUCUUUCUUUCUUUCCAUGUCCCACCUCUAGCAGGAUCCCUGCUUGACUCCUUGGAGGGAGGCCAUCAUGAAGAGAUUUAUACAUUAAACUUGAAAUGGGCACUGUCAGGUACCAGCCUCCAGAGCCUUGUAAAGACCUCAACCUAGAGACAUGGCCCAGAAAUAUUUGGGGUCUGCCUGGGCCUUACCGUCUGCCCUGCACUGUUCCCCGCAACUGAAGGUGUAUACUCCUUCACUUCUUGGCAAGUGAACGGCUUGAGCCUCCCCAGGUAUGUCCCAGUGUUCUAUGCUGCAGAGCCCCUCUGUACUGGCUGUAGAUACCCUUAGUCUGGAAUCACCUCCCCUCCCCCUUCCAAAUGUACUCAGACCCAAACUUUGGGGAAGGCUUCCUUCUCAGACUGCCCAUUGGCCUCUUGAACCAUUAUGAAGGUCUCCCAGCAGCAGUGGUGUACACCUGUUCCCAUGGAGUACACCUGGGUUGUGGCUUCCAUCUUCACUUUCCAGGAGCAGACACAAGGCAGGACUGAAGGGACCUGAACACCCUUCCUGUGAUAAGAAAUGAAGGGCCAGGUGCAGUAACAGACCCCUAUAAUUCUAGCAGCUUUGGAGGCUGAGGCAGGAGGAUCUUUAGUUCAAAGCCAGCCUCAGAAACUGCUAAGUGCUAAGCAACUCAGUGAGACCUUGUCUCUAAAUAAAAUACAAAAUAGGGCUGGGGAGGUGGCUCAAUGGUUGAGUGCCCCCAAGUUCGAUCCCUGGUACCAAAAAAAAAAAAAAAGAAAAAGAAAAAUGAAAUGAGGAUAGGGCACAGUGGCCCAAGCAGGGGUCCUGGAGUCAGAAUCCCCUGAGAAAGUACACUCUGGGCCCUUUGGCCUAGGACCCUGGGGAGCAGUGCUGGCUAAGGUAUGUGAGCAUUUUGACCACAGGUAUAACAUUUAAAUGUAUUUGUAGGUGGAGGGAUAGGCCCAAAGAUAGUGCAGGGCCUCAGCCACUGAGCUGGUGAGUGAUGUGGACUGAUGUUGGCUGAGUUCCUGGUCCUCAGUUCUUAUCACUCUCAGUCAGGCCUCAUGUUUGCCAGCUGAUUACAGCAACGAACUGGCAGAGGGCUUUAUUUGGGGGCCCAUCUAGCAUCUGGAACACAGGUUUCUGACCUCUGUCUUCUCCUUAGGCAGUGAGUCUACACUAAGUUGCAGAUCAUAACAGGACUGACCUUGUAUAGAGUUCAUGGAGGAGACAGGCUGGCCUGAACCACUAUUCUGGAGGACUGUGGAGAACCCAGAGGAGUGAUAUCAUGGAGGGUUUCCUCAGCCUUCUGGGGAGUGGCCGUGGGGGUGGAAAGCAGCAGAGUGGGAAGUCUCACCUGAUGGUUUUGCUGAGGGCUGCUUAUGGGAGAGCCCUUCUCCUUGGCCGCUGGCCUCUUCUAUAUCCAGGACACACUUCAGGACACACUUGGGCACCAUGGAAAUAUCUACCCAGCCAGCAAUACUUACUCAGCCAACCACACUGCUUUGUGAUCUAGCAGUUCUACUCUUGAUACAUACCUGGGUGAAGUGGGAGUCAUUAGUCACCAAAAGACAUGUGAAAUGUUCUCAGUAGCUUUAUUCUUAAUUGUUUCAAGCUGGAAACUAUCCAAAUACUUGUCAGUUAUGAAAUGAAUAAAUACAUGUGUAUUCUUGUUUGGUAGAAUACUAUAUGACAAUGAAAUAAAACUACUGAUAUACAUAUGGAUAACCUCACAGACAUAAUGUUGAGUGAAAAAAAAAAAACUAGUCACAAAAAUGUAGACACAAGCAAGGUGCCACAUGCUGCAUGCCUGUAAUCCCAGCAGCUUGGAAGGCUGACGCAGGAGGAUCACAAGUUUGAGGCCAGUCUUAGCAAUUUAGCAAGGCCCUAAGCAACUUAAC